GUUGUUGGAUUUACUUCAAUCCAUGUGUGUUGGUGUGGAUUGGGAUGUAAUUUAGUUCAAGUUCCACUCCAAUCCACCUCAACACAUGUGGAUUGAUGUGAAUUCGACU
rfam:Sorghum bicolor cultivar BTx623 chromosome 9, whole genome shotgun sequence.